GCCACGGUAGUCUAGUGGUUAUGGCGCUCGGCUGCAGAACCGAAGGUCGCGGGAUCGAAUCCCGGCCGUGGCG
rnacentral:tRNA from 1 species